GUCAGUUUAGCCGGUCGGGAUAGUUGCGAGAUAUUUUUUACGAAAUUAAUUAAAGAAUGGAGUUAUAAUCAUUUGCUUCCCUCCCCACUGUACUCAUCGAUUACAACGACUAGAUGUUAGCUUUAUGAAGCCUUUAAACACUUAUUACACAGAUGAAGUGAAUCAGUGGCUCCGAGCAAAUCCAGGUUGCAUAGUAACACUGAAUCAGAUUUUUCAGCUCUUCGGUCACGCAUUUCUAAAGGCAGCUACGAUGAACACUGUCAUAAAUGAAUUUCGCUAGACAGGAAUUUUUCCUGUAAAUCCUAACGUAUUCACGGACGAGGUCUUUCUUCCUGCUGACAAGAAACAUUGCUCUUGUUGAAGAUCGGAAGCCUGCCAAUCAGAAUGACUUAGCGGAGGCACAAUUGGUCGCUGAAGCAAUUCAAGAGAUUGAAUGCGAAACGUAGAUGAACAAGCGAUUUGAUAAAGGAAACAGCAACACUUGUUCGCAACGAUUCGAUGUCCAAGCAACUGCUUCUAUCGACACUCUUUAAUUUCCUCCUCUGAUUUCCGAUCUGAUUUCUGCAUUUAAAUCGUUUUCUCAUGAUAUUCAAGAGAUUAGGCGUAAAAUGCAAGGAAGUCAGGGAGCUCACGCAGCAAAUAACUUACCGAAAGGUUCAGAAGUCGAAGUAACUGAUCCUGUGAUUUCUCUUAAGUUUCCUGUGACAGUGUGUCAGAAUAAUGAAGAAGAUUAAGCCAUCGCUCCAAUCGACUGCCAGAUUUCGCAACUGAACGCUGUCGCUUUGAAUGCUGAGGUAGAUUUAGAAGAAACGUUGAAAAGUUUAGAAGAGAUUCAGCGUAAGGUGUCAAAAGAAACUGGAAAGACAAAAAACUUUCUUUCUUCUAACUCGGUUAUUGCACCACUUCGACGAGCAAAUGCUCCACAGCACUGCGGGCGUCCAAAAGGAACGGCGGCAAUAAUAACCAGCCAAGAGUACAAACAGUCCCUCUUAGAAAAGCCUAAAAAAGUUAAAGAGUAGCUCACGAGGGCAUACUUCACGAGGACGGGGUCGAUCAUGUAACAAGUCAGAUGUUUCAACUUAUCCGACAACUUUGCAUUCGAAAAUCGUCGAAGAGAUUCCACGUUCUUCUAAUACUGAAUUGAAUAGUUUCGUGAAUCUCCCUUGUAUUCCACAGAAUGCACAAAUUGAAUUACCUGGUAGUACUGAAGUUAUUGAAUUCGAUUUUGCAGACUUCAAUAUCAACCAGCUUCCAGUACAAAUUGUACCA